GACAAAAUGAGCUUCAGAGAAGAGAAAAGCAACCUUUGCUUUACGACCCAGAAAAGGAGAUUUCAAACACCAUAAGGUUAGCUUAGGAAAUUGCGUGGUUACUAACCCAACCCUUCAUUUCUCUCUCUCUCUCUCGCUGUCUAUAUUUAGUGGGGAGCUGGGGUGCAACACCAACCCCACAUCUUCCUUCUUUCCCUCAGAAAUCUACACACAAACCCCACAACAUUAGCCAGACCCUUUAAUCCCCUAAGUUCAGCCCACCGGUUUGCUUGUGUUAAACCAAUUCAAUAGGGUUUUGUGGGGCUUUCAAGCCACCUUUGAUUAUGACCUAGUUCCCCAUCUUCCACAAUCUCUUCCUAGCUAGCUCCUUUCCUCAAUAUAUAGCUCCUUCUCUCCCUUCUUCAAUCCCCUUCAACGUCUCUCUCUCUCUUUCUCUUUCUCUCUACAGAAACUACUAAAUCUUCAUCUUCCUCUUGAUCAUUUGGAAGAUUUGCUAGGGUUGGAAUUCAUAGUAUCCUCAUAUUCAAGUCCUAAUUUUUAGACAAGUUUGCAGGUUCUCUCAUGUCUGAACAAAGGUACAAUCCUCUUCUUCUUGCUGUUCUUGUUCUUCUUUGUUAUAUUUAUUACGGUUUUUAGGGUUUUCAUGAUGUCUAUGUUUUUUGUUUGCAGAAAAUAAUAGUACUAGUAGGCUUCUUUUCUGUGAAAGUUAUUCCUUUACCAAUGGUCACAUGUGGCUUCCCAUGGGACCGUAAUCAUUUCGUUUACACACGUAACGAGGUUUCUUUUUCUUUUCUCUGUGAAGCUGUGUUUGUGUAAAAUCUGUUGCCAAAUUUACGGAAAAUUUUAGAUCUGUGCGGUGCCUGACAACAUGGAAGUUACAAACAACUACCAUUUCUAUCUCCCUUCACGCUUGUCUCAUGGACAUUUCAUAUGACCCCUGGUCUUAUUAUGAAUGUACUGAAAAGUAGCAAUUGUUUCAUAAUUACACAAAGCCAGUUGUUAAUUUGAUUUUUAUAUACAAAACAAAAUAUCCCAAAUCAACAUAGCUUUUUUUUCUUAUACAAAGUUUUUGCUACCCAUAUCAUCAAAUUUCUAGCUUGGCAAGCCUAAUGAUGGAUUGUUUCACUUUUGUUUUUGGAGUACAUGGUAUGGAAUGCAUUUGGGCUAAGUUGCACAAAUCAGUCAAAAAAAAAAAAAAACCAUUUUUGUAGACCAUUUGUUCAAUGGAUCAUCAUGUUCUAAAGAAUCUAACCAUUGAUCUAUUAAUUUUGCUACUUUGUGGGAAGACAUGAUCAAGUAAGCCCAAUUGUAUACCUAGGUGUAAAGACACCCACAAACACAGAUACUCUAGGCUUUUAAGUUUCAACCCCUAACAAAUGAAGAAAUAGAAAAGGUUUUGUAUUAUCAACAAGCUGUUCCUCUUUUUCUUUUGACAAAAUCAACAAGCUGUUCCUAUUUCUUGGUCAAUCGAUCAUAGUCAUUGCUGUGCAUAGUAAGUAAAGCUAGCAAAGCUAAUACUGAACACUGAUCAGAUAUGUUUAGGCUUAUUUGCAUACAUAUUAUCUUAAGCAAUGGGGACUUCACCCCCCAUAUCAUAUUUUUCUCAGAUGCACCAGUCUCUCUCUCUCUCUCUCUCACAUACACACGUCUGGCCAGGGCAUCAAGAAAAAAGAGUGUGGAUUCUGGGAAAAGCAAAAGGUGUUGUUUUUGCAGAGGAUCAUCAUUAUGGCUACUGGGGAAUCUCAUAUAAGGAGUGGACCACCCUCACUUACCCUCUCUCUUUUUUAUUGGUUCGCAGGGAAUAUGUUUUACGGUCAAAGCAGGUCAAUAAAGGACAUUGGUCUGGCAAAGAGAAUGGGACCACCUUUGUGAGAUCUCCUGGGAAAAUCAAUUGUGGCAUUUGGGGGUGCAUGAUUUUCAAAUUUCAAUUUCAUUUACACUAAUUUAUAAUCUACACUAGCUACAUUCUCCUUAUCAAUUGAGACAAUAUAUAUAGUUCAUAGGGGCAGGUAUGAAAAAGAAAAGUUUUGGGCUUGUGGGGUCCAUCUUCCCCAAUGUGUUAUGCUCUGGCUUCUUACACAUUGUACUAUCUGGUCUUUUAGAAAGUAGAUUCUAUCUCUUCUUCUAUCAAUUUCCAAGGGGUAUAAAAAUGCUUUUUUGACACUCA